rnacentral:rRNA from 1 species
GUGAGGAAUAUUGGUCAAUGGGCGAGAGCCUGAACCAGCCAAAUCGCGUGAAGGAUGAAGGUAUUAUGUAUUGUAAACUUCUUUUAUCGGGGAAUAAAGUGCGGGACGUGUCCCGUUUUGUAUGUACCCGAAGAAUAAGGAUCGGCUAACUCCGUGCCAGCAGCCGCGGUAAUACGGAGGAUCCAAGCGUUAUCCGGAUUUAUUGGGUUUAAAGGGUGCGUAGGCGGACUGUCAAGUCAGCGGUGAAAGUCCAUGGCUCAACCAUGGAAUUGCCGUUGAAACUGUCGGUCUUGAGUGUAGAUGAGGUAGGCGGAAUUCGUAGUGUAGCGGUGAAAUGCUUAGAUAUUACGAAGAACUCCAAUUGCGUAGGCAGCUUACCAGGCUACAACUGACGCUGAGGCACGAAGGUGCGGGGAUCAAACAGGAUUAGAUACCCGAGUAGUCC